GCCUCGCCCGGCGCAAACCCGGCCGCCGGGCGCACCCGUCCCGUGCGUCCCCGGACGUUGCUCUCUGCCCCGGGAACGUCGAGACUGGAGCGCCCGCGCUGAGCCACCUUCGCCGACCCGGAGCGCUGCGGCUCGACUCACUGCGGAGGCGCCGGGACGCGGGAACCAGGAGAUUUCUCUGCUGCCUGGGGUGGCGGCGUUGGGGGCUGCGCAGCCGGGGAACUUCCCACCCAGAGGAAAGGCAGCCUCCUCCCCGCUCUUCUCAGCGGCCCCGCACCGCCCCUCACCACCGUGGGGCUGUCAGCUGUUCCGGUGGAUGUGCUUCUGUUCCUUGGGCUGGCAGGCUACACCUCACACCUUGGGAUUCCAGGACAUCGGACAAGGUGCUCAGGACCAUCUGGCUCCCACAGACGCUAGUGCAGGUGAGGACAGGCCCAAGGUCCAGGUGAUACUGGCCUUUGGGACACAGACCCUGGUGUGGUGACUCACUCCAGUGCUCUGUACCUCCGCCCCACUCCUCCCUCCCUCUGUCCUCCCAGGCAGCCCUUGCCCCCUUCCCCACCUCCCCAGGGCCCUUCCUACCAGCUGCCCAUCCUGCCCUGACCUGUCCUGGCCCAAGGCCAAGUCCUACCUGGGACUCUGGGAGCACUGAGCCUCGGGCCCAGGGGGACCAGAGUUGGAGCUGGGGCUGUGCCCACGCCACUGGGCUGGGCAGGCUGGCCUCCUUCCUGCCUGCCCUCCAGCAGCUCCAGCAGGGGGCGGGCAGGGGAAAGAAAGGGAAAGACAAGUUGGACGGGGUCCAUUUGGUGUCCAGGAGCAACUUGGACACGGGCUAGGGGGAGGGGCAGGCAGCUGGGGCCCUGGAACAUCCGGGGCGGGGUGGGGAGGGCCUCCCCUCUUCCCAGACUGUACUCCGGGGGCUGGGUACCCACACAGGGAAGGCUUGUCUCCGACCCCUCUGCCACACUGCCCCGUGUGGGGCUUGGUGGGUGGGAGUGCGGUGGGCACGGCCUCUGUCUCCCUAUGGGUAGAGCAGCUCCCAGCGCCAGGGAGGUUGACGCUGAGACUUACCAUGGGGCGGGUCCGGCCACCCUACAGAGGGCCUCCUGGAGCUUUAGGGAGGAGAAGGGGCAGCCGCCGGCACACCUGCCGAAGAGGGUCGCAGAGUGACGGCUGUGUCCUUGGCUGUGUCCUUGCCCAGCGUCAUAGUGACCUGGCUUCUGGGCCCCAGCCCUCCUUGGCUACUGACUCUCUGUCUCCCCUGCCCCCUCCACUGGCCUCCUGAUGCUCUGGGAGAUCCCAGGCCCUGUCCUGCCUCUGAGCCUCCUCUCAUGCUGUUGCCUCUACCCUCCUCCCUCCCCUGGCGACACCCAUUUUUUCUCUUCCUCUGCCUUCACCUCCACCUGGGUCCAGCCUGCCCCGUCCCCACUGGGGGAGCUGAGCCCUCCCUCCUCGCCCUCCUGUGCCCUCUCCCUUCGUCACAGCCGCGUCCUCAGCCCGGGCAUGUUUCACCACUAGUUUCUGUGUCGGCUGCUACUCAGGCCCGGCUGGGAUCCUCUGCAGUGACUAACCUGCACCCAGCACCCCGGAGGAGCCCAAUAAACCUUUGUGAAAUGAGUACCUGCGUGCAGUGUGGACUAAUUGAAAACUUGUUUCGGGCGGACUUCAAGAUAUUUCAUCGUGCCCUUUUGCACGCUG